rnacentral:ncRNA from 1 species
ACCGAUGCGAUGACGAAGAAUAGUACAUAUGACGAGGCGUUCAGAGAGCUUGUGGACGGUGCGAACAAGCCGCUAGUUGUAUGGAAUGGGCUUUCGAGCAUUCAAGCUGAACAAAAAGUAGGCUUGGACGUUUGCCUUACGUUACAAAGGUGCCAUGCAUGCGCAUGGGCAAAGUGAUUGUCGCAAUGACAAUAACUAGGGUGGCACCACGGUUCUAUCGUCCCUAAA